UACCAGCACCCCGAGUGGUCGGGACGAUUAUUGGGCCUAAAGCAUCCGUAGCCGGUCCUACAAGUCUUCCGUUAAAUCCACCUGCUUAACAGAUGGGCUGCGGAAGAUACUAUAGGGCUAGGAGGCGGGAGAGGCAAGCGGUACUCAGUGGGUAGGGGUAAAAUCCUCUGAUCCAUUGAAGACCACCAGUGGCGAAGGCGGCUUGCCAGAACGCGCUCGACGGUGAGGGAUGAAGCUGGGGGAGCAACCGG
rnacentral:rRNA from 1 species